AGCAGCCGCGGUAAUUCCAGCUCCAAUAGCGUAUAUUAAAGUUGUUGCAGUUAAAAAGCUCGUAGUUGAAUUUCGGGGUCAGUAGGUUGGUCGUGCCACUGGUAUGCACUGGCCUUACUGAUUCCUCCUUCUUGAAGAACUGUAAUGUCAUUAAUUUGGUGUUGCAGGGAAACAGGACUGGUACUUUGAAAAAAUUAGAGUGUUUAAAGCAGGCUAACGCUUGAAUACAUUAGCAUGGAAUAAUGAAAUAGGACGUUUAAUCCUAUUUUGUUGGUUUCUAGGAUUGACGUAAUGAUUAAUAGGGAUAGUUGGGGCAUUAGUAUUCAAUUGUCAGAGGUGAAAUUCUUGGAUUUAUUGAAGACUAACUUCUGCGAAAGCAUUUGCCAAGGAUGUUUUCAUUAAUCAAGAACGAAAGUUAGGGGAUCGAAGACGAUCAGAUACCGUCGUAGUCUUAACCGUAAACUAUGCCGACUAGGGAUCGGACGAUGUUAAUUUUUCUUGACUCG
rnacentral:rRNA from 1 species